rnacentral:tRNA from 12 species
UUGGUCGAGGCCGCUGACUUCAAACCAGUGGGAGAUGA